rnacentral:rRNA from 1 species
CCUACGGGUGGCAGCAGUAGGGAAUAUUGCUCAAUGGGGGAAACCCUGAUGCAGCAACGCCGCGUGGAUGAUGAAGGUUCUCGGAUUGUAAACUCCUUUUGUUAGGGAAGAUAAUGACGGUAUCUAACGAAUAAGCACCGGCUAACUCCGUGCCAGCAGCCGCGGUAAUACGGAGGGUGCAAGCGUUACUCGGAAUCACUGGGCGUAAAGAGCGCGUAGGCGGGAUAGCAAGUCAGAUGUGAAAGCCUAGGGCUUAACCACAGAACUGCAUUUGAAACUGCUAGUCUAGAGUGUGGGAGAGGUAGGUGGAAUUCUUGGUGUAGGGGUAAAAUGCGUAGAGAUCAAGAGGAACACUCAUGGCGAAGGCGACCUGCUAGAACAUAACUGACGCUGAGGCGCGAAAGCGUGGGGAGCAAACAGGAUUAGAUACCCGAGUAGUC